rnacentral:rRNA from 1 species
CCUACGGGUGGCUGCAGUGGGGAAUUUUGGACAAUGGGCGCAAGCCUGAUCCAGCCAUGCCGCGUGCAGGAUGAAGGCCCUCGGGUUGUAAACUGCUUUUGUACGGAACGAAAAGCCUCUCUCGAAUAAAGAGGGGUGAUGACGGUACCGUAAGAAUAAGCACCGGCUAACUACGUGCCAGCAGCCGCGGUAAUACGUACGGUGCGAGCGGGCGUCGGGAUUACUGGGCGUAAAGCGCGAGCCAGUGGUGAAAUCCCCGGGCUCAACCUGGGAACGGCCAUUGUGACUGCAAGGCUGGAGUACGGCAGAAGGGGGUGGAAUUCCGCGUGUAGCAGUGAAAUGCGUAGAUAUGCGGAGGAACACCGAUGGCGAAGGCAGCCCCCUGGGCCUGUACUGACGCUCAUGCACGAAAGCGUGGGGAGCAAACAGGAUUAGAUACCCGGGUAGUC